rnacentral:lncRNA from 1 species
GGCCACCCUGGUGGGAGGGAGCCCGGGCCUCGAGGAGGAGCCUCCCUGAGGUCCUGGCCAACUGCCGGUAGCCGCUCUUCGGUGACCCCAGCUACGGCCGCACACAUUCUAAAGCAGAGGCCGGCGUUCUGUGCUGUGUCCCGUUUGAGCCCCCCGGGCGCAACAAACAAACAAAAAGGACUUUAUUCUCCUGCUAAGGUUGAAGGUAAAUUGUUACACAGAAGUAGUUGCUGCAGCGCCUGGCGUGUGCCAGUCUGCCCUCCAUUUGCUCGUCCGUUCACUCGUUCGUUCACUCGUUCGUUCCUUCACUCAUUCGUUCAUUCACUCAUUUGUUCGCUCAUUCACUCAGCCCUUCACUCAUUCGUUCACUCACUCAUUCCUUCACUCAUUCGUUCAUUCACUCUUUCAUUUGUUCAUUCACUUAUUUGUUCACUCAUUCACUCAGCCCUUCACUCAUUCGUUCAUUCAUUCAUUCAUUCCUUCACUCGUUCAUUCGCUCAUUCAUUCCUUCACUCAUUCAUUCACUCACUCAUUUGUUCACUCAUUCCUUCACUCCUUCACUCAUUCCUUCACUCCUUCACUCAUUCCUUCACUCAUUUGUUCAUUCCUUCACUCAUUCACUCAUUUGUUCACUCAUUCACUCAGCCCUUCACUCAUUCGUUCAUUCAUUCACUCAUUCGUUCCUUCAUUCCUUCACUCAUUCGUUCACUCACUCAUUCCUUCACUCGUUCAUUCACUCCUUCACUCAUUUGUUCAUUCACUUAUUUGUUCACUCAUUCACUCAGCCCUUCACUCAUUCGUUCAUUCAUUCAUUCAUUCCUUCAUUCCUUCACUCGUUCAUUCACUCCUUCACUCAUCCUUCACUCAUUCAUUUGUUCAUUCACUCAUUCAUUCAUUCCUUCACUCAUUCUUCACUCCUUCACUCAUUUGUUCAUUCAGUCAUUCACUCAUUCAUUCACUCAUUUGUUCAUUCCUUCACUCAUUCACUCAUUCGUUCACUCACUCAUUCCUUCACUCAUUCAUUCCUUCACUCGUUCAUUCGCUCAUUCAUUCCUUCACUCAUUUGUUCACUCAUUCACUCAGCCCUUCACUCAUUCAUUCAUUCCUUCAUCCUUCACUCAUUCCUUCACUCGUUCAUUCACUCCUUCACUCAUUCUUCACUCAUUCGUUCCUUCAUUCCUUCAUUCCUUC